GUUCAUUAAAGUCGAGUUGGCUUAGGGAUACGUUCGUUGGGUAGGGGAGCGUUCUGUAAGCCUGUGAAGGUGUGUCGUGAGGCAUGCUGGAGGUAUCAGAAGUGCGAAUGCUGACAUAAGUAACGAUAAAGCGGGUGAAAAGCCCGCUCGCGUGAAGGCCAAGGGUUCCUAUCCAACGUUAAGCGGGGCAGGGUGAGUCGUCCGCUACGGCGAGGUCGGAGGGCGUAGUCGAUGGGAAACGGAUUAAUAUUCCCGUACUUGGUGUUACUGCAGAAGGGGUGAGGGAGAAGGGUAUGUUAGCCGAGCGACUGUUGACCCGGUUUAAUCGUGUAGGUAUGUGUUCCAGGUAAAUCCGGAUAACUUUAACACUGAGGCGUGACGACAAGGCACUACGGUGCUGAAGUAACAAAGGUCCUUCUUCCAGGAAAAGCCACUAAGCAUCAGGUAACACGAAAUC
rnacentral:rRNA from 1 species